rnacentral:tRNA from 3 species
CAAGAUGUCGCAUAAUGGUAUUGCACCAGUUUUGGGAAUUGGUCUUUGCGAGUUCGAGUCUUGCCAUCUUGU